GCUAAGGCGGCGCCAGCGGCCGCGGUAAUAGAGGGGGGGCGAGCGUUAAGCGGAGUUACUUGGCGGAAAGCGUGCGUAGGCGGUUGAUUAAGUCGGAUGUGAAAUCCCUGAGCUUAACUUAGGAAUUGCAUUCGAUACUGGUCAGCUAGAGUAUGGGAGAGGAUGGUAGAAUUCCAGGUGUAGCGGUGAAAUGCGUAGAGAUCUGGAGGAAUACCGAUGGCGAAGGCAGCCAUAUGGCCUAAUACUGACGCUGAGGUACGAAAGCAUGGGGAGCAAACAGGAUUAGAUACCCCAGUAGUC
rnacentral:rRNA from 1 species